rnacentral:rRNA from 1 species
GUGGGGAAUCUUGCGCAAUGGGCGAAAGCCUGACGCAGCCAUGCCGCGUGAAUGAUGAAGGUCUUAGGAUUGUAAAAUUCUUUCACCGGGGACGAUAAUGACGGUACCCGGAGAAGAAGCCCCGGCUAACUUCGUGCCAGCAGCCGCGGUAAUACGAAGGGGGCUAGCGUUGCUCGGAAUUACUGGGCGUAAAGGGCGCGUAGGCGGACAGCUUAGUCAGAGGUGAAAGCCCAGGGCUCAACCUUGGAAUUGCCUUUGAUACUGGCUGUCUUGAGUUUGGGAGAGGUGAGUGGAACUCCGAGUGUAGAGGUGAAAUUCGUAGAUAUUCGGAAGAACACCAGUGGCGAAGGCGACUCACUGGCCCAAUACUGACGCUGAGGCGCGAAAGCGUGGGGAGCAAACAGGAUUAGAUACCCCAGUAGUCC